UACAGAGGUCCCGAGCGUUGUUCGGAUUCACUGGGCGUAAAGGGUGCGCAGGCGGCUUCGCAAGUCGAGUGUGAAAUCCCCGAGCUUAACUUGGGAAUUGCGCUCGAAACUACGGAGCUGGAGUGUGGCAGAGGAAGGUGGAAUUCCACGUGUAGCGGUGAAAUGCGUAGAGAUGUGGAGGAACACCGAUGGCGAAGGCAGCCUUCUGGGCCAACACUGACGCUCAUGCACGAAAGCGUGGGAGCAAACAGG
rnacentral:rRNA from 1 species